rnacentral:rRNA from 1 species
GAUAAACGCUGGCGGCAUGCAUGAGACAUGCAAGUCGAACGGACGAACUCGGGCUUGCUCGGGUUCGUUAGUGGCGAACGGCUGAGUAACGCGUGGGUGACCUGCCCGGAAGUGGGGGAAUAACUGCCCGAAAGGGUGGCUAAUACCGCAUGUGGCCAUACGUUCGUUCGUAUGACCAAAGCCGAAAGGCGCUUCCGGAGGGCCUGCGUUCGAUUAGCUCGUUGGUGGGUAACGGCUCACCAAGGCGACGAUCGAUAGGUGGUCUGAGAGGAUGAUCACCCAGACUGGGACUGAGACACGGCCCAGACUCCUACGGGUGGCUG